rnacentral:rRNA from 1 species
AUUGAACGCUGGCGGUAUGCUUAACACAUGCAAGUCGAACGGCAGCAUGACAGAGCUUGCUCUGUUGAUGGCGAGUGGCGGACGGGUGAGUAAUACUUAGGAAUCUAUCCAGUAGCUGGGGAUAACGUGGGGAAACUCACGCUAAUACCGAAUACGCACUACGGUGGAAAGAGGGGGAUCUUCGGACCUCUCACUAUUGGGUGAGCCUAAGCCGGAUUAGCUAGUUGGUGGGGUAAUGGCCUACCAAGGCGACGAUCCGUAGCUGGUCUGAGAGGACGAUCAGCCACACUGGGACUGAGACACGGCCCAGACUCCUACGGGAGGCAGCAGUGGGGAAUAUUGGACAAUGGGGGCAACCCUGAUCCAGCAAUACCGCGUGUGUGAAGAAGGCCUGCGGGUUGUAAAGCACUUUCAGUAGGGAAGAAAAGUUGUUGGUUAAUAGCUGACGAAAUUGACGUUACCUACAGAAGAAGCACCGGCUAACUCCG